AGCAAUGUGGCGUAGAGGUUUGAGCAUUGUUGGACUAUGGCUCUGGAGACCAGGGUUCGAAUCCCUGCUCAGCCC